rnacentral:tRNA from 1 species
GGGGUUGUAGCUCAGUGGUAGAGUACUUGCCUGACAUGUAAGGCUUUGGGUUCCAUCCCUAACCCUUCCA